UGCAUUUUAUUAAACGGUUAGUAAAUAGACGUAAGUUUAAAGUAUUACAGUAAUAAGGCACAUUUUUUAAAUAAUUGGUAAAUAAAAUUUAUCAACAAAUAUUAAAAUUUAAUAUCUAAUAAUAACAUAACCUUGCAACAAGGAAAAUAAACCAUAAUCUCUAUUUUUACUCGACCAAAUAAAUAUUAUCAAAAAUUUAUUUCCUCAAUCUUUUAAAUUUGAAUUUGAAAUUUUUCAUUACUUUAUAUGUUGCUUAUCUUUUUCUUUUUUUUUUACUAAUUGUUAUAUUUACUAUAUGGAAUGCAAAUAGUUUUACAGAAAUUUUAUCAAGAUGCAUGGUUUUUAAAAUAUUUCGAGAAAUAUAGAGAUUGCUGGGGAAAAUGUUUUUAAAUUCAUUUCAUAGGGAAACAACAUAGAAAAGUCAUAAAUAAAAGGCUAAAUAUCCUUCAUUGUCAUAUACAAAUGAUUGUACCAUGUUAAUGUGAGUAUAAAAACAUCCAAGAAAGCUCAUUUCUAGCGAUGAUUGCAAGUCUGGUAAAAAUACUAAUCUGGCCUUGAAGGCAUAAAACUUUGCUCAGUGCUCGGAGCACAAAAAUCAUGCUCGAAACAUGAAAUCCAGCAAUUUGAUUAGUUGAUAUUCAAGUCUGAGUACAAAAAUCAUGCUCGAAAGUUUUAUGAUCGUGAGGCCAGGAUGUCGUAGGUGUCCUAAACUUGCUUCAUAGAUCUGACAACUUUCUGUUUUGAAGACUGUUUGGUAUCCUCGGUUUUUAUCCUUAUAAUACACACCUUCAAACAUUUUGAAAGCUGGAAUUUCAUUGGCUGAUGUAAUUAUUACCAGAAGCAAUCUGAUAAAACUACAGAUCAUGUGUCAUUAGGAAGGAUUUACUUCAAAAGAAAUAUUACAAAGUGAUAAAUUUUCCUGUUAGAUAUAAAAUCAUCAAUGAAGCGUGACCAAAUUUCCUGCUUCAUAACUUUCAUGAAAAUUAUUAAUUUUCCUGCUUAAAGUAUAAUCAGUUCUGUGGGGAUAUAUAAGUUCUGAUAUAAUUUUCCUGCUGGUUUACUUUAAUUGAAAUAUUAUUU
rnacentral:lncRNA from 1 species